rnacentral:lncRNA from 1 species
AUGGCUUCAAACAUAAUUCUAAAUAUUUUGAUGGCUUACAAAUUCUUAUUGGUUAGAGAAAUUCUUUUUAAUUCUCUAUCCUGAAAUUGAAUCACUGGACCCUGCAUCCCGAACUCCCAGCGCAGGAGGCCUGGCGGCAACCUGGGCGCUAGACGGGGUCAGGAACAACUCCUGUGAGAGCUCAGUCCGGGGCUCCAAAAUGCUCGCCAGGAGGAAGAAUAACUUGGGGGAUGGGCUGAGCAAACUGAGGCUCAGGCUGCCCUAACCGGAGGGAUGGCGGAGAGAGCGCUCCAGGAAUUCGAGUCUGAUAAAAAGUGUUUGAACGAGAGUGCAGGCCAGAGGCACCUCCUUAAGGAAUCUUGGAUCCACCCCAGCGGGCCUGUGCCUCUCCUCUAAGACCUGCCACUCCCAUUUCCCAAGGCCACCGCCCUCGCCCGCUCCUGCGGCCGCCUGGAAAACGCCACCUCUGAGACCCCAUCGCAAUGCCUCCCUCUCAGCUACCCAUUUCAAGAGAGAAGAGCACGCACACACAUUUCACUGAGGGCCAGACCGAGGCUCAGCUGGACGCCCUACAGGCCUGACUCAGCGCCCUCAACUAUGGGUCCUGAGGCCACCGCAGCGGUCUGCAGGGAGCCACUCUGCGCUCCAGGCCCCCGACAGGCAGCGAGGUCAGCCAAUGGCAAUGCAGCGGAGGGCGGGCUUUGGGAUGCCGCAGGCAUUUGAUAGGCUCUACCUCACCCCCGGCGUUUAGCAGUGAGAGGACCGCGGACUUCCAGACUCCGAGAAGCGGCUGACAGACCAAGAGCUGCGCACGAAAUAAAACUCAAGUAUGAAGAUAUUUAAUAGUCAAGCAACGGGAUCAAUAUAAACCUACAAACACUGAGCAGUGGAGCCAGCGUUGAGAUGCCAUGGACAGUGACAGUCACCUCUGGCCCUCCCUGGUGGCUCCCUUGAAGAGGUCAUGUGAGCCCACAGUGAGAUGGCAGUCACCUAUGAGCCAAGAGAAGAGGUCUCAGAAUGAAACCAACCCUGACAGCACCUUGACCUUGGACUUCCAGCCUCCAGAACUGUGUUAUUUUGAAUCUCUCUUCACUUUCUUUGAAAAUUAACAAUACAUCGUUGUUUGUGAGCAUUGCACUGAAACCCCAAGGCACACAUCACUCUCUCGAUCAUGGACAUCACCAGCAGUGACGCCACAGCUUGCAUCAUGGCUAUGCAGGAUAUAUAUAUAAAGAGAGAGAGCUGAUGGAAGAGAAAAAGAGGAUAAAGCAAAUGUGGCAAAAUGUUAACAAGCGAGGAAUCUGGAUGAAAGAUUAGCCCUAAGCUAUCGUCCGUGCCCAUCUUCCUCUACUUUAUAUGUGGGACGCCUGCCAAAGGAUGGCUUGACAAGCAGUGCAUGGGUCCACACCCAGGAUCCGAACUGGUGAACCCUGGGCCGAUGAAGUAGAACGUGCCAACUUAACCGUUGCGCCACUGGGAAGGCCCC